AACAGUCAUUACAAAAAUAUCUUACUUCAUACCAAAAGAGAUGGAUUCUGAAAAACGUGUUAUACCAUGGACGAGUGGCGAAAAGCAAGUUCUGGAAUCCAACGGAUGUAAACCUAAAAUAUACAUAAACAGCUAUCAUACUCACAAUUUGUUUCAAGUCGUACAAAGUUUACACAGAGAAAAAGUGUUAUGUGAUAUUAAGUAAGAAACAGAUGGCGGUGUAACAGUGUAUGUACAUAAAGUGGUUUUAGUAUCAGUCCAUAUUUCCGUGCGUUGUUCACCAGUUUUGCCGAAGGGGAUAUAGAUGUUGUAAGUUUAAGAUAAUUGGACUCCAAUAUGCUACAAUGCUUGUUGGAUUAUAUUUAUAGUGGUGAAAUCAUGGUCACCGAAGAAAACGUAUUGAAAACUGGUUGAAGCUGAACAGUUCCUAUCUUUGUCUUCUGAAGAAAUGAUUAAUCUAAUUUCAUGUGAUCACAUUAACGUUUCAUUUGAAGAAAAAGUAUGCAUACUAAAAUUUGUAAUUGUUGUAUUUAAUAAAUUAUUGUUGGGAAAUCCAUUUAC